AGUGAACGCUGGCGGUAGGCCUAACACAUGCAAGUCGAACGGCAGCACAGUAAGAUCUUGCUCUUACGGGUGGCGAGUGGCGGACGGGUGAGGAAUACAUCGGAAUCUACUUUUUCGUGGGGGAUAACGUAGGGAAACUUACGCUAAUACCGCAUACGACCUACGGGUGAAAGCAGGGGAUCUUCGGACCUUGCGCGAUUGAAUGAGCCGAUGUCGGAUUAGCUAGUUGGCGGGGUAAAGGCCCACCAAGGCGACGAUCCGUAGCUGGUCUGAGAGGAUGAUCAGCCACACUGGAACUGAGACACGGUACAGACUCCUACGGGAGGCAGCAGUGGGGAAUAUUGGACAAUGGGCGCAAGCCUGAUCCAGCCAUACCGCGUGGGUGAAGAAGGCCUUCGGGUUGUAAAGCCCUUUUGUUGGGAAAGAAAAGCAGCAGGUUAAUACCCCGCUGUUCUGACGGUACCCAAAGAAUAAGCACCGGCUAACUUCG
rnacentral:rRNA from 1 species